rnacentral:rRNA from 1 species
ACUAACGCUAGCGGCGUGCCUAAGAAAUGCAAGUCGAGCGAAUCGAGGGUGCUUGCACCCAAAGGUUAGCGGCGAACGGUCGCGUAACACGUAAGCAACCUGCCUCAAAGUGUGGGAUAGUCCUCCGAAAGGGGGCUUAAUACCGCAUGUGGACGAUUCUUCGCAUGUUGGAUUGUCUAAAGCAGCAAUGCGCUUUGAGAUGGGCUUGCGGCCUAUCAGCUAGUUGGUGUGGGUAACGGCCCACCAAGGCGACGACGGGUAGCUGGUCUGAGAGGAUGGUCAGCCGGACUGGGACUGAGACACGGCCCAGACUCCUACGGGGGGCAGCAAUUAGGAAUCUUGCGCAAUGGGCGAAAGCCUGACGCAGCGACGCCGCGUGACUGAUGAAGUCUUUCGGGAUGUAAAGGUCUUUUGCAUGGGAAGAAGGAUGUGACGGUACCGUGCGAAUAAGCCCCGGCUAACUACGU